rnacentral:rRNA from 1 species
AGAGUUUGAUCCUGGCUCAGAAUGAACGCUGGCGGCGUGCUUAACACAUGCAAGUCGCACGAGAACUCUUUAGCUUGCUAAAGAUAGUAAAGUGGCGCACGGGUGAGUAACACGUGGGUAAUCUACCUCUGAAUCGGGGAUAACACUGCGAAAGCAAUGCUAAUACCGGAUAAUAUCUUUUGAGCUUUGGCUUAUCAGAUUAGAGGUGGCCUCUACAUAUAAGCUACUGUUUGGAGAUGGGCCCGCGCACCAUUAGCUUGUUGGCGGGGUAAUGGCCCACCAAGGCAUCGAUGGUUAACUGGCCUGAGAGGAUGAUCAGCCACACUGGAACUGACACACGGUCCAGACUCCUACGGGAGGCAGCAGUGAGGAAUUUUGCGCAAUGGGGGAAACCCUGACGCAGCAACGCCGCGUGAGUGAUGAAGGCCCUUGGGUCGUAAAGCUCUGUCAAGUGGGAAGAACCUGCUUUAUGCUAAUACCAUAUUGCACUGACGGUACCACUGAAGGAAGCACCGGCUAACUCCGUGCCAGCAGCCGCGGUAAUACGGAGGGUGUAAGCGUUAUUCGGAAUUAUUGGGCGUAAAGAGCGCGUAGGCGGCCUUUUAGUCAGAUGUGAAAGCCCGAGGCUUACCUCGGAAGUGCAUUUGAACUAGAGGCUUGAGUAUGGGAGAGG